rnacentral:rRNA from 1 species
CUGUAGCCGCGGUAAUACAGAGGGUGCGAGCGUUAAUCGGAUUUACUGGGCGUAAAGCGUGCGUAGGCGGCUUCUUAAGUCGGAUGUGAAAUCCCUGAGCUUAACUUAGGAAUUGCAUUCGAUACUGGGAAGCUAGAGUAUGGGAGAGGAUGGUAGAAUUCCAGGUGUAGCGGUGAAAUGCGUAGAGAUCUGGAGGAAUACCGAUGGCGAAGGCAGCCAUCUGGCCUAAUACUGACGCUGAGGUACGAAAGCAUGGGGAGCAAACAGGAUUAGAUACCCGCGUAGUCCCUGUCUCUUAUAC